rnacentral:rRNA from 1 species
UGGGGAAUAUUGGACAAUGGGCGGAAGCCUGAUCCAGCCAUGCCGCGUGUGUGAAGAAGGCCUUUUGGUUGUAAAGCACUUUAAGCGAGGAGGAGGCUACUUGGAUUAAUACUCUAGGAUAGUGGAGGUUACUCGCAGAAUAAGCACCGGCUAACUCUGUGCCAGCAGCCGCGGUAAUACAGAGGGUGCGAGCGUUAAUCGGAUUUACUGGGCGUAAAGCGUGCGUAGGCGGCUUCUUAAGUCGGAUGUGAAAUCCCUGAGCUUAACUUAGGAAUUGCAUUCGAUACUGGGCAGCUAGAGUAUGGGAGAGGAUGGUAGAAUUCCAGGUGUAGCGGUGAAAUGCGUAGAGAUCUGGAGGAAUACCGAUGGCGAAGGCAGCCAUCUGGCCUAAUACUGACGCUGAGGUACGAAAGCAUGGGGAGCAAACAGG